UACGGAGGGUGCAAGCGUUAUCCGGAUUCACUGGGUUUAAAGGGUGCGUAGGAGGGCAGGUAAGUCAGUGGUGAAAUCUCUGGGCUUAACCCAGAAACUGCCGUUGAUACUAUCUGCCUUGAAUACCGUGGAGGUGAGCGGAAUAUGUCAUGUAGCGGUGAAAUGCUUAGAUAUGACAUAGAACACCAAUUGCGAAGGCAGCUCGCUACACGAAUAUUGACUCUGAGGCACGAAAGCGUGGGGAUCAAACAGG
rnacentral:rRNA from 1 species